rnacentral:rRNA from 1 species
GCUUAACACAUGCAAGUCGAGCGGAAAGGCCCUUUCGGGGGUACUCGAGCGGCGAACGGGUGAGUACACGUGAGUAAUCUGCCCUUGGCUUUGGGAUAACUACCGGAAACGGUGGCUAAUACCGGAUAUGAUCAUGCUCGGCAUCGGGUGUGGUGGAAAGUUUUUCGGCCAGGGAUGUGCUCGCGGCCUAUCAGCUUGUUGGUGGGGUAAUGGCCUACCAAGGCUUCGACGGGUAGCCGGCCUGAGAGGGUGACCGGCCACACUGGGACUGAGACACGGCCCAGACUCCUACGGGAGGCAGCAGUGGGGAAUAUUGGACAAUGGGCGGAAGCCUGAUCCAGCAACGCCGCGUGAGGGAUGACGGCCUUCGGGUUGUGAACCUCUUUCAGUACCGACGAAGCGCCGAUGAUGGUGGUGACGGUAGGUACAGAAGAAGCACCGGCCAACUACAUG